UACGUAGGGGGCAAGCGUUGUCCGGAAUCAUUGGGCGUAAAGAGCGUGUAGGCGGCCAGAAAAGUCCGCUGUGAAAACUCGAGGCUCAACUUCGAGCUGUCGGUGGAAACUUCCUGGCUAGAGUCCGGAAGAGGAGAAUGGAAUUCCUGGUGUAGCGGUGAAAUGCGCAGAUAUCAGGAAGAACACCCGUGGCGAAGGCGGUUCUCUGGGACGGUACUGACGCUGAGACGCGAAAGCGUGGGGAGCGAACAGG
rnacentral:rRNA from 1 species